GACUGUGAAGACCAGGAGGUAAGGAUCAGUGAGGGUCAUCUGGAGGUUGGCUACCACGUUCACAUGGAGCUUUGGGGUCAAACUUUUCCUGUUUCUGCCAUUUAUUGAGCACUUCCUGUCCGUUCGGAUGACUACAGGCCACCUCGUCUGCCUCAACUAUCUUGGCGUGGGCUCCCCCUGCCAGCACAUCACUGCUUCCCUAAGUCAACUGAUUCCUGGUUGAGAAUCAGCCAGCCCACCUGACUGCAGACACACACCGCGUCGUCAAGGUCGGCCUCAUCAGCCACGCGUGUGCUGUUUUGGCCGCAGAUGCUGGUUCCUCUGACUGACUUGCCAGAUGGCUCAGAACUCACGGCGCUGGUCACCCUCCCUAGUCUGGCAUCUGCCCUCACCACUGGGACGUAGCCUUGCCUCUGCGGGGAUGGCUAUGGGGAACCAUCUUCCUGAAUCUUGAUUGGACGGCCCUGGAGGAGCGGACCUCUCCUCUUUCGGCUGCUGAACUGAGAUGGGAAGGCGGCUCGAUUCCGGCCAUCCUGUGCCCUACACAUCCUGCACACCCGGCCGAAAUGUUGAGAACGCAGAGCAGAGAGAUAGAAAGAUGGGCUAUUUGGGUCAUGGUGGGAUUACCAACCCCCUAGCCGUUCUGCCCUCCGUGUGUGAGCCAACAGUCACCUCCAUUGUCCACAUCGCCUCAGGUCGAGGUUUCAGCGACUUGCAGAUCUUUGUGUUCUCUUGGCUUCAACUAUUGUUGACUUGCAGACUAUGUGCACGUUGGCACCGUGCCGGACUAAUCCUCAGAGUCUGGAAUGCGCAAAGCUUCAGUACCUAGUUAGGUCAAAGACUCCUUUAGAGCAGGAAGCCUGAAGACCACACUGCGAUCUGUCCCCUUACACCUGUUACCCUCCCACAUUCCGCACUGGACCGUGUGCUGGCCACACCCAUCCUGCUACGCAAGUAGAGACCUGGAGGCCCUCCCUGGUACCCCCUUCUCCCUCACCCUUCCUAGCCAAACCUCCAGCCUAGAAAGUCUCUCUCAUGCUGCUUCUCCUCUCGUCCUCAUCGCCUGUCCCCCAGGACACGCCAUCACCCCUGUCUUCCGGCCCCGGACUCCCCGAUCACGUGUCUGCUAUCAACCCUCCCCUGUCUCCCUACAUGGUCAUCGCAUGACCCCCCGACCAGGCCUGUUUUCAUUCGCCAUCACGUCUCCAGAGCCCAGCACUGUGAUGUCACCUAGAACGUGCCAGUAAAGACUUGGUGCUCCUGGAGCGGGUCCCUUCCAGAGCGUAUGCACCCCCGGGGGCGGGGAGGUGCCUACGCACACAGUGCCGGAGGGUGGCCUAAUUUCUCAGGCCUCGUUGUUCCGCAGCCGGAAAGACUGACAUUGGUGCAGGCAGUGUCUUGUCUGAUCACGUCCCCCUUGGGUACCGGCUAGGUAACAGGCCCUCUGGGCAGAUAGAGAGGAUGAGGUCCACAGGGCCUGCAUCAGGGGCACAGACAGGCCGAGGGAAGCGCCCCUUCACACAGCUGGGUCUCGUAGCAGCUGCACCUAAAAGGGAGGUGGAGACAGAGCACAGAAAGUCAUGGUGUCUUCUCCCUGAACAGAUAUGACUUAAGGAGCCGGCCAGCGGCUCUGUCAUCAUGACGGCUAUACGGCGUCCCUCCACUGUACGUGCCGAGGUCACCGUAUGUCAUGCUGAGCGGCCCCACCAGCAGGUGCGUUUCCGAGUCAACCUGUGCGGUGAGCCUGGCCUUCGUGGGUGAAGAAGAAAGGGGGCAUGGGAAUCACAGCCUUGCCCGGGGGCUGGAGGCUGGCUCCCCAUCUGCCAGAGCAGCAAAGCACCUGCAGAGAACCAUUGGCCCCUCGGUCCAAGCUAAGGGCAGGAGGGAGACGAUUCGCAGCCACGGCAAGGGGGGGGCUGGGGAGGCGGCGUCCUCGGGGAGCAGCGCACUCAGGAAAAGGAAGGGGAGAGAAAGUUCACAGGAGAGAAGUGGCUGAGUCUGUGGGGUCUUUGCGGGAGACUGGGAAAGGACCGUUUGGAAGGGGCUUGGACCCCGAGCGGUCCCAAGUGGGGGCAUUUCGUUCCACUGUCACGCUUGGCAGAGCUAUGACAAUUUUGAGUUCAGGCCACCCCACGUUUCUAGGGAAGCGGCACCAACAGAGGCGGGGGCCUUGCCCUCUGACCCGACUGUCCCCAGCACGAGCGAGUGGACUGAGCUGACCCCCGUCACGUGCCGAGACAGAAUGUUUCUGUUUUAGUCACUCCGUGGGUCAUCGACCACAAAUGCACGCACACGCGGGGGCUGGGAGGGAUCUGCCCCCUCCCCGUUACUAGAGCACUGGGCCCACCCCCUCCUGUUUUAACUGUCCAAACAUGAAAAGACGUUAGUACCUGGAGAAUCUUCUCUCUGAGACUGAAGUUCGUUUCCUGACUGCCGACUGGCGUCCGAGCAAGGAGAAACACCUCCAAAGGGACGUCACGCGAGGGAGAAACGUCUUUUCCCUGUAAAGCCUGUUGUGAACGUCACCUUCUUGCCUGGCCCGGUGGGCUGACUGGCCCUGGGUUCUGCUCCCGCGGGCGGCGACCCGUUCGUAGACACACGGGGGGCGGUGAUGCGUCUCCGAUGUCAGGGGUCCACCUCAGGCACACACAUGUAGAAUCUGUCAUCCCCGGGAGACUGGUGGGGGUGGGGAAGCCUGAGAUAAUCUGGGAGAAUCUUCCAGGCAGCAUCUGGUCACAGGAGACGCUCUGGGUCACGAGCCACACCCUCCGGGAGGGUUCCUCUCCUGCCGACUCUGCGUUAGCCGCCGAAUCCUACCACCCACCCGUCUCCCCGGCUCUGGGCUGUUUUUACUCUAAACUCAGAUGCCUUUGGAUCUCUUGCUCCAGUGGCCGUCCGCGUCGUAGGGGAGCCCUAAUUCCCUGAGCGUGCAAGAGACAGGCAACAUCUGAAGGGAGGCGGGGGAGGGAGAGACAGGGGAGGGAGAGCCACGCCAACACCAGCUUGGCCACUGAGUCACAUUUCCUGAAGGAGGCACGGGAAAGUCGCCUUGCAAACCCCAGACUCAAGGUCCUGUCACCAACUCAUCCUUCGGUGGGAUUAGGACCCACAAACCUGCCACAAACCUGCACUCUGACUUCACCACCCUGCUCUUCAGGGAGCCGUUCGCAAGCAGGUGCACAGCCUGCCCUGGCCCCAGCUACCUUUGGGGCCACCAUGCCCCCACUGGACCCCA